AACCUUUGUUGUUUAAUUCAAAAUAAGAUCAGGUGUAGUAUCUGUUCUUAUCAGCUGAAUAUCUGAUAUGUUAGGCAAUGCAUAGCUCAUAUAUUAAACUGAUUGUUGGACUUCGGCCAUGAGUAUGGCCCCUUCCCCACUUGGGAAAGAACAUUUUUUAUCUCAAAAACAAA